UACGGAGGGUGCAAGCGUUACUCGGAAUUACUGGGCGUAAAGCGUGCGCAGGCGGUUUGUUAAGUCCGCUGUGAAAUCCCCGAGCUCAACUUGGGAAUUGCAGUGGAUACUGGCAAGCUGGAGUAUGGUAGAGGAAGGUGGAAUUCCCGGUGUAGCAGUGAAAUGCGUAGAGAUCGGGAGGAACACCAGUGGCGAAGGCGGCCUUCUGGACCAAUACUGACGCUCAUGCACGAAAGCGUGGGGAGCAAACAGG
rnacentral:rRNA from 1 species